AAUAGAUACCCGGGUAGUCCACGCCGUAAACGAUGAUGACUAGCUGUCCGGGCACUUAGUGCUUGGGUGGCGCAGCUAACGCGUUAAGCCAUCCGCCUGGGGAGUACGGCCGCAAGGUUAAAACUCAAAGAAAUUGACGGGGGGCCUGCACAAGCGGUGGAGCAUGUGGUUUAAUUCGAAGCAACGCGCAGAACCUUACCAGCGUUUGACAUGGUAGGACGGUUUCCAGAGAUGGAUUCCUUCCCUUACGGGACCUACACACAGGUGCUGCAUGGCUGUCGUCAGCUCGCGUCGUGAGAUGUUGGGUUAAGUCCCGCAACGAGCGCAACCCUCGUCUUUAGUUGCUACCAUUUAGUUGGGCACUCUAAAGAAACUGCCGGUGAUAAGCCGGAGGAAGGUGGGGAUGACGUCAAGUCCUCAUGGCCCUUACGCGCUGGGCUACACACGUGCUACAAUGGCGGUGACAGAGGGCUGCAAACCCGCGAGGGUGAGCUAAUCUCCAAAAGCCGUCUCAGUUCGGAUUGUUCUCUGCAACG
rnacentral:rRNA from 1 species